GUUCUGUCUUGUAUUGAGGGAAGCCCAGUUGCUCGUGCUGGCAUACAUGAAGGAGAUGAGCUGAUUGAGAUUGAUGGGUAGGCGCUUGAUGGUAUUGAUGUUGAGGCUGCAGCACAAAAGCUUCGAGGGCGUGUUUGGACGACAGUUACAGUAGAACUUUAUAGUCAAUCAGAGACUUUUGGGGAAUUUGAUUGGUUAGGGAUGAGAAUGGAAAAGUAGAUGAAAAUGGCGCGGUUAAAUCUAGAGAUGAAGGGAUCCUGAAACACUUCUCUAGUUUUCCGAACUGGUGAGUGUUGCAGAGAAAAACUUUGAUACUCUUGCAGAGUGUGAUGGUUUUAUCAGUUUGUCUCCAUGCCUUCCAUUGUCUGGGAUGAGGUGAGUUCAAUCCAGGUAAAACUUAGAAGUGAGUUUGUAAUGUGGCUUUCGAUUUAAGUGAUUGCGGGUUUUAUGCUGGACUUGCAGCUGGAAGA